AUUCCAUGAUGAGGGUACUUUCAUAAUAACUUUUUGAAUCUUUCCUAUGCCUCAUACAAGGACUCAUCAUCCAUUUGUUGGAAAGCAUUAUUCUCAGCUU
rfam:Gossypium arboreum cultivar AKA8401 contig_105652_1, whole genome shotgun sequence.